GACGUAGGGCGCGAGCGUUGUCCGGAUUUAUUGGGCGUAAAGAGCUCGUAGGCGGCUUGUCGCGUCGGCUGUGAAAUCCCGCGGCUCAACUGCGGGCUGGCAGUUGAUACGGGCAGGCUGGAGUUCGGUAGGGGAGACUGGAAUUCCAGGUGUAGCGGUGAAAUGCGUAGAUAUCUGGAGGAACACCGGUGGCGAAGGCGGCAUCCUGGACCGGCAUUGACGCUGAGGCGCGAAAGCCAGGGGAGCAAACGGG
rnacentral:rRNA from 1 species